rnacentral:snRNA from 1 species
AUAUGACCAGUUUUGUCCACGGAC